GGUCAGUUAGCUCAGCAGGUUGGAGCACUGUGCUGGUAAUGCUGAGGUUGUUGGUUCAAACCCCAUAUGGGGCA
rnacentral:tRNA from 1 species